rnacentral:rRNA from 1 species
UGCCUGCCCGGUGAUUAUAGAAAUUAAACGGCUGCGGUACUCUGACCGUGCAAAGGUAGCAUAAUCAUUAGCCUGUUAAUUUCAGGCUGGAAUCAAUGGCAAGACGAAGAAAAAGCUGUCUCUUUCUAUUAUUUUAGAAUUUUUCUUUUUGGUGAAGAGACCAAAAUAAAUAAGUGGGACGAGAAGACCCUAUUGAGCUUUAGUUAGUUAAAAGAAAAAAGUUUUUUUAAAUAACUUUGGUUGGGGCAACUGUUUUUAGAAUUAAACAUUAAUAAAAUAAAAAUGAAUUAAAUCUUUAAUAUAUAAUACCCAGAAAUUUUUUUCUGCAUUUAAAAAAAGUUACCUAAGGGAUAACAGCGUAAUUCUUUUUGAGAGUACAUAUUGACAGAAGAGUUUGCGACCUCGAUGUUGGAUCAAGAUUUCCUGGAGGUGUAGUGGUUUCCAAGGGUUGGUUUGUUCAACCAUGAAAAUCUU